rnacentral:tRNA from 1 species
GUUGUGGCUCAGUGGUACAGCACUCACCCAGCAUGUGAGAGGCACUGGGUUCAAUUCUCAGCACAACA